UGAACGCUGGCGGUAGGCCUAACACAUGCAAGUCGACCGGCAGCACAGUAAGAGCUUGCUCUUACGGGUGGCGAGUGGCGGACGGGUGAGGAAUACAUCGGAAUCUACUUUUUCGUGGGGGAUAACGUAGGGAAACUUACGCUAAUACCGCAUACGACCUACGGGUGAAAGCAGGGGAUCUUCGGACCCUGCGCGAUUGAAUGAGCCGAUGUCGGAUUAGCUAGUUGGCGGGGUAAAGGCCCACCAAGGCGACGAUCCGUAGCUGGUCUGAGAGGAUGAUCAGCCACACUGGAACUGAGACACGGUCCAGACUCCUACGGGAGGCAGCAGUGGGGAAUAUUGGACAAUGGGCGCAAGCCUGAUCCAGCCAUACCGCGUGGGUGAAGAAGGCCUUCGGGUUGUAAAGCCCUUUUGUUGGGAAAGAAAAGCAGCAGGUUAAUACCCCGCUGUUCUGACGGUACCCAAAGAAUAAGCACCGGCUAACUUCGUG
rnacentral:rRNA from 1 species